rnacentral:rRNA from 1 species
GACAGAGGAGCCAAGCGUUGUCCGGAUUGACUGGGCGUAAAGCGCCCGCAGGCGGCCGUGCACGUGGGGUGUGAAAGCGCUCGGCCUAACUGAGCGAUGCCACCUCAUACGGCAGGGCUCGAGCCCGUGAGAGGUCCACGGAAUUGCCGGUGUAGUGGUGAAAUGCGUAGAGAUCGGCAGGAACACCCAGGGGGAAACCAGUGGACUGGCACGGUGCUGACGCUCAGGUGCGAAAGCGUGGGGAGCGAACCGG